CCUCAUUUUGAGUCUUCACUCUUCAGUCUUCACUUCUCUGCCUCAUCUCUCUCGACCUUCACCUCUCUCUCUCUCGACAGCCGCUCUUCUCAUCUCUCACUUCUCACAACGUUUAAGGUCGUCGAUCUCCGACCGAGGACGCCGUCGAUCUCCGACCGAGGACGUCGUCGAUCUCCGACCGAAGACGCCGUCGAUCUCCGACCGAGGACGCAUCGAUCUCUGACCGAGGACGUCGUCUGAUCUCUUCUCUGGAUGGAAUCGGGAAGUGGAGCAUCACAAACUCCCAAUCCGACACCAAUUGUGUUUGAUUUCAUUGUCAGCUGCUGUUGGAACUUUGAUUUACUGCUGCUGGAACUUUGAUGUACUGCUGGAACUUGGAAGUUGGAACUUUGAUUUAUGUUUGUGCUGCAUGUUAGAUAUUUGGUUUGGAAAUAGAUUGUUCUACCAAUUUGGAACUUUGAUUUAGUUUUGGAAAUUGCUUUUUGGUUUGAAAUAUUGAAUAGUUGGAGAAAAUUGUUGAUAUUUGAUA